rnacentral:lncRNA from 1 species
AAAUAAAUUAACUUAAAUCCUACACCCGCAGAUAGAUAUAAACACAAAUCAAAAUGAUUAGAGAAUAAUACAUGGGUUGACAUAAUGAACAACUAUGAAAUUAUCUAAUGAUUACAUAAUUCUUGAUUAGCUCAUAGAAUAAGAUAAAAUUACACAUACACAAAGACAAAUCUAAAACAAUUGAUAAUGAAACAUAAAUCGAAAUAUUUAUACAAUAAAAUUAU